UGGGGUGCUCUUAUGACGUAUAGGAGUAUCAUUGUGAUCAAGUCUCAUAACGAAGAACAGUGAAAAAAAUUUUAAAAUUAUUUUAAUUAUGAAGAUAUUUAGAUUAGAUCUAAAAUAAUUUAUGAUUAAUUAUAAUUUCUAUAAAAUAAAUUUAGAUAUAAAAAUUAAAUUUUAUGAUCUGAAUUAUAUGUUGCAUAUAAUAUAAAAAUUUGAAUUUUCUAUGAUAUAUAUGAUGUAUACAUAAAAUUAAUAUAUAUUUAAUUAUUAAAUAUAGAUUUAAAAAUUAGAUAUUGAUUUGAAACAUAGGUAAGAUUUAUUUGAAAUCUUAGUAGAAUAGUUCUAUAAACUAAAACACAUAUUUUAUACACUUAAUUUAAAAUUAAAUUUUUAAAAAGAUCUAGAUUUAAGAAUUAUAGAUCUUAAGACACCUCAU
rnacentral:lncRNA from 1 species